rnacentral:rRNA from 1 species
CCAGCAGCCGCGGUAAUACAGAGGGUGCAAGCGUUAAUCGGAUUUACUGGGCGUAAAGCGUGCGUAGGUGGCCAAUUAAGUCAGAUGUGAAAUCCCCGAGCUUAACUUGGGAACUGCAUUUGAAACUGGCAAGCUAGAGUCUUGUAGAGGGGGGUAGAAUUCCAGGUGUAGCGGUGAAAUGCGUAGAGAUCUGGAGGAAUACCGGUGGCGAAGGCGGCCCCCUGGACAAAGACUGACGCUCAGGUGCGAAAGCGUGGGGAGCAAACAGGAUUAGAUACCCUGGUAGUCCACGCUGUAAACGAUGUCGACUUGGAGGUUGUGCCCUUGAGGCGUGGCUUCCGGAGCUAACGCGUUAAGUCGACCGCCUGGGGAGUACGGCCG